rnacentral:lncRNA from 1 species
UAUUGGGAUAAGAUAUAGUGUGGUGGAAGAAACAAAUGGAGAUGGGUUAAACAAAAGGAGGAUAAGAAAGAUCCCUCUGUAGAUAACUCAGCUUCACAUGGACAUGUCCGAGAUGAGAGAAACAGAUGAAGAAGAUUAGGAAAAACUAAGGAAGAUUUUGUAGAAGAAGAUGAAGGCUUCAUGGAGAAGACAAAGAAGAUUAGAAGAAGUGGACAAGGAAA